UGCCAGCAGCCGCGGUAACACGGAGGGCGCGAGCGUUGUUCGGAAUCACUGGGCGUAAAGCGCGCGUAGGCGGUUGGGUAAGUCGCUUGUGAAAGCCCGGAGCUCAACUCCGGGAGGCCAGGCGAUACAGUCCGACUAGAGCACGGUAGAGGCAAGUGGAAUUCCCGGUGUAGCGGUGGAAUGCGUAGAUAUCGGGAAGAACACCAGUGGCGAAGGCGGCUUGCUGGGCCGUUGCUGACGCUGAGGUGCGAAAGCGUGGGGAGCAAACAGGAUUAGAUA
rnacentral:rRNA from 1 species